rnacentral:rRNA from 1 species
UACGUAGGGUGCAAGCGUUAAUCGGAAUUACUGGGCGUAAAGCGUGCGCAGGCGGUGAUGUAAGACAGAUGUGAAAUCCCCGGGCUCAACCUGGGAACUGCAUUUGUGACUGCAUCGCUGGAGUGCGGCAGAGGGGGAUGGAAUUCCGCGUGUAGCAGUGAAAUGCGUAGAUAUGCGGAGGAACACCGAUGGCGGAAGGCAAUCCCCUGGGCCUGCACUGACGCUCAUG